rnacentral:ncRNA from 1 species
AUAAAAACACAGGGGGGCUGGUAAUGCCAGCUGAGAGUAAGAACUUGAUUUUUUGACCCUAUUAACCUGAUCUGGAUAAUGCCAGCGUAGGAAGUUGUAUUGAUUUAUUU